rnacentral:lncRNA from 1 species
AAAAAAACCUUGUCACGAUUUAAGUGAUUGAUUGUGUUGAUUGGAUAGACAUUCAAUAAUAAAUUUCAAAAUAAAUAAUGGAUUAAAAUAACUAGAUUUUGAAAAUCAUGUUUCGCUCACCUGGUCCGAAGGGCCAUGUGAGCAUUUCUAAUCACUUGAUGCUAUCACUUGCAUCGUCCAUCCUUAUUAUUUACCGUCAACAUGUAGGAUACCAUAACUUGAAAUAACAUUUGUGUACGAUAAUGUUGUUUACAGUUCCCGG